GUGCUUAGCCAAGCAAAGAUCAUUUAUCAAGGAGCUAGUUAGUGAGGCAUCAACCAGCAGCUGGCCUCUUCUGCUGUUUUUCAAGUUCCUAUUAAGCAGCUCCAGAGACAGGGGAAGCUUUGAGGCUCUUCUUACAUACUUUUCACCAAGGUUGCUGCUACUGAAUUUCUUUGAUAAUUAAUAUAGCUUAUGUCUUAGGGAACAAAUUGGAUGAGUGAUUUGGGGAAGGUUCAUUAUCAUGAGCUGCUCCAGAAGGGCUGAUCAUGGACUGAGAGUCCCAGGCCUAACCACAGCCGUUCUGAGUGCCUUCAUGGUCGGCUGCGGCACUGCUCAGCCCCAGGGCACAGGGGAGAAAACAGGAGACAGGAGUGGAUUAGAUCUAGAUCUCUGUCUUGACUUUGCCACCAGUUUUGUGUGUAACCUUGGGCAAGUCACUAUUCUUUUCUGGGUUUCAGUUUCUCCCAUUCUCCAGCUGUCCUGUCCUCACUGUAUUUUUUAGAUUACUCAAAACAGCCACUACUGGAGUUCCUGCCAUGGCACAGUGGUUUAAGGAUCCUGCGUUGUCUCUUUAGUGGCAAGGAUUCGAUCCCUGGCUCGGUGAAGUGGGUUAAGGAUCCAUGCGUUGCCACAGCUGUGGCAUAGGUUGCAGCUGCGGCACGGAUUCGAUCCCUGGCCUGGGAACUCCCAUGUGCCAUGGGUGUGGCCAAAACAAAAGAAAAAAAUAGCCACUACCAAUUGAGGGUGGGGGAAGUUCACAUCUUGUGUUAUUUCUGCUAAUGGCUGGUGUUGACCAGUCUCAAAACCUGCUGGACAAGCUUUGAUGAUUUCGCCCACAUAAGGAUACUUGAUCUGUAUUAAUAAACCCAGAGUGAUUGUUAAUAUGACUAUAUAAUUUCUUCCCACAUUCAAUAAAUAUUGAUUGAUUAUUUGCUUUGGACAUUAGUACUGCUAGCAAGAAUACAAAGAUAAGUAAGGCAUAGUCUUACUAUCUCAUAGUAUUGAUAAGCCAUACACAAAUACUUCUAAGAAUAUAUAACAUUUAUACCAUGCUUACCUUACUGGGAAGGCCAAGCACUGUAUCAAGUAAUUCCUAGGUCAUUUAAAAAAUUUUUAAAUUAAAGUAUAGUGCAGGGAUCCCAUCGCCUCUGAGCAGAAACAAAUCUGAUUAGCAUCCAUGAGGACAUGGGUUCGAUCUCUGGCUUCGCUCAGGGGGUCAGGGAUCCUGGGUUGCUGUGGCUAUGGUGUAGGUCACAGGUGCAGCUCAGAUCUGAUAUUGCUGUGGCUGUAGCUUCCAUUGGACCCCUAGCCUGGAAACCUCCAUAUACCUCGGGUUUGAUCCUAAAAAUAAAAAAAUAAAAAAAAGUAUAGUUGAUUUAUAAUGUUCUGUCAAUUUCUGCUGUAUUUAGGUAUUGAUUAAUUUAAUCUUUGCAAUAACCCAGGACACUAAGCCCCCCUCCUUUUUUCAGAUGAAGAAACUAAGGGUCAGAAAACAUAAGUAAUUUGCCCCCAAUUACCUAUUUAGUAAGUGACAGAGCGGCCUUAUUCCAGAAUCAAUGUGCUUAAACACUAUGUUCCACUGUUUCCUAAUUUGAUUCAAGACAGCGUGAGAUUGGUGUUAGAAGUGCAAAUAAAGUGAUAUGUGGGCCCAGAGAAGUGAGAAUUUGCUUCUCAAAGCCCAGAGAGGGAAGUAUGUGGGCUUUCAGGUGAGGUAGACCUGGGAAAAUAACUCCCAUUAGCCUCAGUUGCCUCGUCUGAGGAUUAAAUGAGUUAAUGUAUGUAAAGCAUUCAGAGCAGUACUUGAUACGCAGCACAUGCUCAAUAAAUUUUACUAUAUCUACAUCCUCCUCCUCCUCCUCUGUAGGGACAGGCAGAGAGGAAUGGGUUGCAACAGGAUUUCACUCUGAGGCUUCACUUGUUGAACCUGUGGGUUGAAAGCUGGGUUGUAAUGAAAACACUUAUUUGAAGGUUUAUCCCACUGUUUAUAGUUACGAAUGUCAAGAUAUGGAAGCAACCUAAGUGUAUACCAAUAGAUGAAUGAAUGAAGAAGCUGUGGUAUAUAUUCAAUGGAAUAUUACUCAGCCAUAAAAAGGAUCAAAAUCUUGCCAUUUGCAACUACCUGGAUAGACCUGGAGGACAUGACCCCUAGUGAAAUAAGUCAGACAGAGAAAGACAAAUACCGUGUGAUACCACUUAUAGGUGGAAUCUCAAAUAGAAACCAAACUAUGGAAUAUAACAAAAUAGAAACAGACUCAAAGAUAUAGAGAACAAACUAGUGGUAACCAGUGGGGAGAGGAAUGGGGUGGGGAAGUGCAAGAUAGGGGUGGAGGACUAGAAGGCACCAACUACCAUGUAUAAAAUAAAUAAGCUACAAGGUUAUAUUGUACAGCACAGGGAAUAUAGCCAAAUUUUACAAUAACUUUAUUUAUUUAUAUUAUUAUUAUUAUUUGUCUUUUUGCCAUUUCUUGGGCUGCUCCCGCGGCAUAUGGAGUAUAAGCUAUAAACAUGUUGAAUCGUUAUGUUGUACCCCUGAAACGAAUAUAAUAUUGUAAAUUAACUAUAGCUCAACAACAAAAAAGUUAAAAAAGAAAGUUGGGUUUUAAGCUGCCAGAGGGGAUUCUUUUUUGAGUUGACUUUGAAGCAAGGUGAGCUCUAUGUAGAGCAGCUAAAUAAAAGUCACAAAAAUGUCUCCUUGCUUGAAAAGGUGGAGAUUUAUAUUACUUUGGGGGAUAGGACAUACUUCAUAGGACUACUGUCACAAGACGACACGGGGGAGCCAAAAGCUCAAACUACUGGCAUGCAUUAACUCCCUGGAUCAAGUUCAUUCAUCAGAUUAGCCCCAGCAGAGAUUGGUGCUCUGGGGGACUAUGACAGUGAGCACUUUUGAUGGCUACUAAGAGACAAGUGUCAGAGUACCCAUUGUGGCUCAGUGGAUUAAGAACCCAAUGUAGCCUCUGUGAUGAUGCGGGUUCGAUCCCUGGCCUCACUCAGUGGGUUAAGGAUCUGGCAUUGCCACAAGUUCCAGCACAGGUCACAGAUGCUGCUUGGAUCUGGCAUUGCUGUAGCUGUGAUAUAGGCCUGCGGCUGCAGCUCUGAUUCAACCCCUAGCCUGGGGAGCUUCCAUAUGCCGUGGGUGUGGCCAUAAAAAGAAAAAAAAAAAAAAAAAAAAAAAGAGAGAC
rnacentral:lncRNA from 9 species